rnacentral:rRNA from 1 species
GGGCAGCUACCCAGCAAUGGGAUGCGAAUCUCGAAAGCCUGUCUCAGUUCGGAUUGGAGGCUGAAACCCGCCUCCAUGAAGUUGGAUUCGCUAGUAAUCGCGCAUCAGCCAUGGCGCGGUGAAUACGUUCCCGGGCCUUGUACACACCGCCCGUCAAGCCAUGGGAGCCGGGGGUGCCUGAAGUUCGUGACCGCAAGGAGCGACCUAGGGCAAAACUGGUGACUGGGGCUAAGUCGUAACAAGGUACC